rnacentral:rRNA from 1 species
UACAGAGGGUGCAAGCGUUGCUCGGAAUCAUUGGGCGUAAAGGGUAGGUAGGUGGUCUCAUUUGUCGGGGGUGAAAGCCUUGGGCUUAACCCAAGAAGUGCCUUCGAAACGGUGAGACUAGAGUUCUGGAGAGGCUAGGGGAAUUCCCGGUGUAGCGGUGAAAUGCGUAGAGAUCGGGAGGAACACCAGAGGCGAAGGCGCCUAGCUGGACAGAUACUGACACUCAACUACGAAAGCGUGGGGAGCAAACAGG